GACGAACGCUGGCGGCGUGCUUAACACAUGCAAGUCGAACGGAAAGGCCCCUUUGGGGGUACUCGAGUGGCGAACGGGUGAGUAACACGUGAGUAACCUGCCCUUGACUUCGGGAUAACUUCAGGAAACUGGGGCUAAUACCGGAUAGGAAUCCUUGCUGCAUGGUGGGGGUUGGAAAGCUUCGGCGGUUUUGGAUGGACUCGCGGCUUAUCAGCUUGUUGGUGGGGUAGUGGCUUACCAAGGCUUUGACGGGUAGCCGGCCUGAGAGGGCGACCGGCCACAUUGGGACUGAGAGACGGCCCAGACUCCUACGGGAGGCAGCAGGGGGGAAUAUUGCACAAGGGGCGGAAGCCUGAUGCAGCAACGCCGCGUGCGGGAUGACGGCCUUCGGGUUGGAAACCGCUUUCAGCAGGGGCGAAGCUUGUGGUGACGGUACCUGCAGAAGAAGCACCGGCUAACUACGUG
rnacentral:rRNA from 1 species